rnacentral:rRNA from 1 species
CCUUUGACGUUAGCGGCGGACGGGUGAGUAACACGUGGGUAACCUACCUAUAAGACUGGGAUAACUUCUGGAAACCGGAGCUAAUACCGGAUAAUAUUUCGAACCGCAUGGUUCGAUAGUGAAAGGUGGUUUUGCUAUCACUUAUAGAUGGACCCGCGCCGUAUUAGCUAGUUGGUAAGGUAACGGCUUACCAAGGCGACGAUACGUAGCCGACCUGAGAGGGUGAUCGGCCACACUGGAACUGAGACACGGUCCAGACUCCUACGGGAGGCAGCAGCC